rnacentral:rRNA from 1 species
UACGAAGGGGGCUAGCGUUGUUCGGAAUUACUGGGCGUAAAGCGUGCGCAGGCGGCUCAUCAAGUCAGAGGUGAAAGCCCAGGGCUCAACCCUGGAACUGCAUUUGUGACUGCAAGACUAGAGUACGGCAGAGGGGGGUAGAAUUCCACGUGUAGCAGUGAAAUGCGUAGAUAUGUGGAGGAAUACCGAUGGCGAAGGCAGCCCCCUGGGUCGAUACUGACGCUCAUGCACGAAAGCGUGGGGAGCAAACAGG